AAGACUCAAUGCCCAAAUUCGUGGAGGGUCUAUUCAAAGACAUACUUGAAGACGACACUGACCUGGGAAUUGAGAGAGCACACGGAGCUCUGGCCCCAAAACCCCCCAGCCGCGCCCCACCAAGAUCAAUAGUUAGUUGUACGGUUCCUAAAAUUCUCAGUCAAAGAAAAGUCUUACAUGCAAUCUGGAAAAAGCCUGUUAGCUUCCAAGGCCAACGAGUGUUCUUUGAUCAUGACUACGCGGGAGAGAUACUGAAAAGAAGGAAAGAAUACACCCCCAUUAAGAAAGCACUUAAAGAGAAGGGUAUAUGCUUCCAAACACCAUUGCCGGCAAAAAUGCGGGUAUUUCUGGAAAAUGGCCCGGUUACAUACGAGCAUGCAGACGAGGCGGCUGAGGAUCUGAAGUCGAGGGGCAUCCCAGUGGAGUAUACCGCCAGGAGAAAGGCCACAUCACCGGCGGAAAGACUCGAGCAGGCUCUCCCAUGGAUCGUUAUCGACAAGCAGAGUCAUGGAAAAAGAGGGAAACCACCUCGGCGAGAGGACGUUCACAUCCGAGAGAGACUCAGGCAUUUCCAUCGCGAAGAUGGAAGACACUGAAGAGGAUUUAACAGAAUGAAUAGUUACCGUGAGCUGUUAAGACGUUGGGUUGUAACGGUUGACAUUGCAAUAGGUAAAAUAUCUCUCCAAUUUUCCCCCAAUGCAGAACAAGGGUCAUGUUUGUGAUUACGUCACGCAUUUUCAUAACUGAGAGAGGGGUCCCUCCUGCGGACAGGCUCAUCCCCUCAAACUCCAGAGGCAAGAGACAGUCCUCUGACAUUGGAGUCCAAAUAUCUAAACCUAGGUCCCUCCCACUAAGGAGGAGAUUGCAGGGGCGUGCCCCAGUAGGGAGGCUGUGGAGAGGCUGAAGGAGACGGUCAGCUGGCUUCCCAAAUGAAUGCCUGGACAUCCUGGGUGAGCUGGGCAGGACUGGGCCCCUUGUGGAGCUUCAUCUUGCUAAAUGCUAACUAAUAUAGCACACUAACACCCUGGUACAGAAAGCUGUGGCUGUGAGAUACAUCAGGCAACACCCACUAAUGUUAUUUUCCCCAUCUCAUUCUUCAAAUUGGGUAUUCCAGCAUGACAAUGACCCAAAACACACGGCUAAGGCAACAAAGGAGUCGCUCAAGAAGAAGCACAUUAAGGUCCUGGAGUGGCCUAGCCAGUCUCCAGACCUUAAUCCCAUAGAAAAUCUGUGGAGGGUGCUGAAGGUUCGAGUUGCCAAACGUCAGCCUCGAAACCUUAAUGACUUGGAGAGAUCUGCAUAGAGGAGUAGGACAAAAUCCCUCCUGAGAUGUGUGCAAACCUGGUGGCCAACUACAAGAAACAUCUGACCUCUGUGAUUGCCACCAAGGAGUAAGUCAUGUUUUGCAGAGGGGUCAAAUACUUAUUUCCCUCAUUAAAAUGCAAAUCAAUAUAUAACAUUUUUGACAUGUGUUUUUCUGGAUUUUUUUGUUGUUAUUCUGUCUCUCACUGUUCAAAUAAACCUACC
rnacentral:lncRNA from 1 species